rnacentral:rRNA from 1 species
CCUACGGGAGGCAGCAGUGGGGGAUAUUGCACAAUGGGGGAAACCCUGAUGCAGCGACGCCGCGUGAGUGAAUAAGUAUUUCGGUAUGUAAAGCUCUAUCAGCAGGGAAGAAAAUGACAGUACCUGACCAAGAAGCCCCGGCUAACCACGUGCCAGCAGCCGCGGUAAUACGUAGGGCGCAAGCGUUAUCCGGAUUUACUGGGUGUAAAGGGAGCGUAGACGGUUAUGUAAGUCUGGAGUGAAAGCCCGGGGCCCAACCCCGGGACUGCUUUGGAAACUGUGUGACUGGAGUGCAGGAGGGGCAGGCGGAAGGCCUGGUGUAGCGGUGAAAUGCGUAGACAUCAGGAGGAACACCGGCGGCGAAGGCGGCAUGCUGGACUGAAACUGACGUUGAGGCUCGAAAGCGCGGGGAGCAAACAGGAUUAGAUACCCUUGUAGUC